GGGGUCGUGGCCAAGUCAGGUAUGGCGACUGACUCCAGAUCAGUCGAUCGGGGGUUCAAAUCCCUCCGACCCCA
rnacentral:tRNA from 1 species